rnacentral:misc_RNA from 1 species
AGCUCAUUUGACAUACCACCAGAUUUGGACACAAAUCCAACGGAUCCAGGCCUGUACAGCUUGCAAGCAAUUAUGUUGUCAAUUGUUCCAGCAGUGUCACCUAUCUUGAAUGCUCCAGCCUGAAUGCCUCCGACAGUAGCUGGGCCAAUGACAACCUUAUUGUUAGAUCGUGCAUACGCAAUUAACUGUUUGGUGUCAGACUCAGGAACUCCUUCAGCUAUUAUAGCCACAACUCGAAUGGUAGGCUGCUUCAGGGCAGCCAUGGAUGAUGCGGCCGCACUUCUAAAUGAUGCAAAGUUAAUAAAUACAUCAGCAGUUGGGUGAGCAGC